GCCGGUGUAGCUCAGUUGGUAGAGCAGCUGAUUUGUAAUCAGCGGGUCGGGGGUUCAAGUCCCUUCGCCGGCU
rnacentral:tRNA from 1 species